GACCGUGCAAAGGUAGCAUAAUCAUUUGCCUUAUAAUUGAAGGCUUGUAUGAAUGGUUUGACAAGAAUAAAGCUGUCUCUUUACAAAUAAAUAUAAUUUUAUUUACAGGUGAAGAAGCCUGUAUUAUAUUGAAAGACAAGAAGACCCUAUCGAGCUUUAAAUAAGUUAGUAUAAAGUAAAUCGUAUUUAUAUCGAGCUAGUUACUAAAAAUUUUAGUUGGGGCGACUAAGGAACAACUAAAGCUUCCUAAGAGUUUUAAGCGCUUACAAGCUGUGAUCCAAAAAUUUUGAUUAAAGGAAUUAGUUACCGUAGGGAUAACAGCAUUAUCUUUUUUAAGAGUUCAAAUCGAAAAAAAGGUUUGUGACCUCGAUGUUGGACCAGAAUAUCCUGAAGAUGCAGCCGUCUUCAAGGGUUGGUCUGUUCGACCAUUAAAAUUCUACGUGAUCUGAGUUCAGACCGGCGUGAGCCAGGUCAGUUUCUAUCUUCUAUUUUUAAUAUGGACCUAGUACGAAAGGAUUGGUCUAUAAUAAUAAUUAUCCUCCUUGAUGAAGUAUAAAGGCUUAUUAAAUUAUCAAGCACAAUAGAUCAAAUUAGCAAAGAUAAUGCAAUUGACUUAGGAUCAGUAGACAUAGGUGAAAUUCCUUUAUUUGAUACAAGUAUGAAGGUGGCAGAUGAA
rnacentral:rRNA from 1 species